rnacentral:rRNA from 1 species
GUCCUGGCCCUAAACGAUGUCCACUAGAUCGCAGCAGCUCUGACGUUGUUGCGGUCGAAGCAAAAGUGCUAAGUGGACCGCCUGGGAAGUACGGUCGCAAGGCUAAAACUCAAAGGAAUUGACGGGGGCUCACACAAGCGGUGGAGCAUGUGGUUCAAUUCGAAGCAACGCGCAGAACCUUACCUGGGCUUGACAUGCCUGGAUUAUCCCUAUGAAAGUAGGGUAGGCCCUUCGGGGUACAACUGGCACAGGUGCUGCAUGGCUGUCGU